UACGUAGGGGGCUAGCGUUGUCCGGAAUUACUGGGCGUAAAGGGCGCGUAGGCGGCCGCCUAAGUCAGACGUGAAAUCCCUCGGCUCAACCGGGGAACUGCGUCUGAUACUGGGUGGCUUGAAUCCGGGAGAGGGAUGCGGAAUUCCAGGUGUAGCGGUGAAAUGCGUAGAUAUCUGGAGGAACACCGGUGGCGAAGGCGGCAUCCUGGACCGGCAUUGACGCUGAGGCGCGAAAGCCAGGGGAGCAAACGGG
rnacentral:rRNA from 1 species